rnacentral:misc_RNA from 1 species
AUUGCGACAUUUGUUUACGUUCACAUAACACACGUAAUUUACAUGUCAAAAUCAGUUAUCACAACUUUGUUUUUUAGUAAAUCAAAUUCGUUUUAUUCUAUUGGUGCAAAGGAAUAAAAAUGCUGUUUUCAAGGGAUAAGGACGACGAUGACGACUUCAUUCCAAAUCCAAAUUAUCAUUCAAAUUUGGCUUCCAUAUUUGGGAGUACGGGGAGUGAUGGCAACCCAAGUUUGACGUAUACAGCACCGAAACAGCCAAAGCGUCAGGGCAAAGGAAAUGCCAGUACAAACCUGUCUUCAAAACCAGGAAUUUCCACUUCGGCUAGUUCCUCAAGUGUUAUCUCUGUCAAAACUGUGCAGACGUUCAAAAUGGUUAACGGAUCGUACCAGAAUGAGGGUCGAGUGGGCGUGGCCCUCGUCAGUUUGGGACCAGAGGAGAGCUGUACGUACCAACUGCUGCUGUAUCGGGACAAACAUCAUCACCUGUGCAGUGCCAAAAUCACAAAAGAAUUCAAUUUCCAUGUUCAACCCAAGAACUACUGCACAUUCUAUGACAAGAAUUCUGUCAUUUGGUCCAUUCUUUUUGAAAACUCAUCAGAAAUGAUGGAGUUUAAUUUGCAGGUAGCCAUAGUAAAGUGGAAAGCUGCAGACAAGGCUCUUCCUCUGCUGUCACAGGAUCUCUGGUCUCCUCUAGUAGAGGACCCUAAGUCUUCUGCAGCAGCUGUAGAAGAUACAGUGGAACUUUCCUGCUCCCUUCACAGCAUCCUCAACAUCUCCCAGGCUCUAGAGGAUGAAUUGACAGUCUCAACAAGCGUGGAGCUGGGAGGGUGGAAGGCUGGUCUGGUCGGACUGCUUCCCAACUGCAAGCGUGUCAUCAUCAUGCAGCCUUACCUGUUGGAUGGAGAUGUGUUUCCAAAAAAGGAGUCAUACGAAUGUCCUGUUAUAUUGAAAUUAGACGUCAUCAAAGUCCGAAAGAAUCAUCCCAAUCAGCCUACUGAACAUAAAAAUGAUCCAAAUGUUAAUAUUCUCAGGGAAGAUUUGCUGAAGUCUAAGGAGAUUGAAAGACAACCAGACAGUUCCAAAGAUAGUUCGAAGCCCACCAAGGCUGAUCUGAUCACCAGGAUGGCCCGGAUGGGACAGGCUCUGCCGUUCAAGACAGCUGCUCCCACUCCUUCCGAUUCUGACGAGACUGAGGAUGACCAGUCGGCUCGCGUACACAACGCAAAUAUAGACCGUGGACUGCCCAAGGCCAGGGCUAGAGUGCUGCAUGCUCCAGUGGCAGGACCCUCCACGUUCGCACCUCCAGUCCCCGUAUCUUCCGCAGUCACACAGCAGUUACCUGCGGUUCCGUGGAGCCAGUCUCCGUACAUGAUGAGCAGUAUGUACCUCCCUCCCACACCCCAGCUUCAGUCCCCUGGAAUAGACUCACAGUCCCAGUUCCAUGUGUUCCUGUCCGAGAUACGGACCACGAACUCGGAACUAAGGAUGGGGAUCACUAGACUCACGGACAAGGUGGAAGCUCUUCAGACCAAGGUGGAAAACACCACCAAGAACUCUCCUGGAAAUCCAGAUUUUGUUGCUCUGAUGGAAAAGAUGCUUGAGAAUGAAAAGCAAGUCCAACAAAUUCUGUCUGCCGUUAAUAGUUCUCAACUGAUGGGAACAGACACAGUGUUGAGUUCACCUCCUCUCCUGAGUCCCAGCUGUGUCAGAGGUGUUCUAAUACCGACCAGUCCUAUACAUCAUUAGACGCCCAAGUGAAAGAGCUCCAAGGACAAAUAGAAUACCUGCAGGCAACCAACAAUGCACAGAAGGAUGCUAUGCAGAAUGCCAAGGUUGCCGAUAAAGACCAGGUGGCGCGGAUAGAGGUAUGGAGAGGCAG